AACGAACGCUGGCGGCAUGCCUAACACAUGCAAGUCGAACGAGACCUUCGGGUCUAGUGGCGCACGGGUGCGUAACGCGUGGGAACCUGCCCUUAGGUUCGGAAUAACUCCCCGAAAGGGGUGCUAAUACUGGAUAAUGUCUUCGGACCAAAGAUUUAUCGCCUUUGGAUGGGCCCGCGUUGGAUUAGCUAGUUGGUAGGGUAAAAGCCUACCAAGGCGACGAUCCAUAGCUGGUCUGAGAGGAUGAUCAGCCACACUGGGACUGAGACACGGCCCAGACUCCUACGGGAGGCAGCAGUGGGGAAUAUUGGACAAUGGGCGAAGGCCUGAUCCAGCAAUGCCGCGUGAGUGAUGAAGGCCUUAGGGUUGUAAAGCUCUUUUACCCGGGAUGAUAAUGACAGUACCGGGAGAAUAAGCUCCGGCUAACUCCGUG
rnacentral:rRNA from 1 species